AGAGUUUGAUCCUGGCUCAGAGCGAACGCUGGCGGCAGGCCUAACACAUGCAAGUCGAGCGCCCCGCAAGGGGAGCGGCAGACGGGAUAGUAACACGUGGGAACGUACCUUUCAGUUCGGAACAACCCAGGGAAACUUGGGCUAAUACCGAAUACGCCCGUAAGGGGAAAGAUUUAUCGCUGAAAGAUCGGCCCGCGUCUGAUUAGCUAGUUGGUGAGGUAAUGGCUCACCAAGGCGACGAUCAGUAGCUGGUCUGAGAGGAUGAUCAGCAUCACUGGGACUGAGACACGGCCCAGACUCCUACGGGAGGCAGCAGUGGGGAAUAUUGGACAAUGGGCGCAAGCCUGAUCCAGCCAUGCCGCGUGGAUGAUGAAGGCCUUAGGGUUG
rnacentral:rRNA from 1 species